CGAGGGCGAAACAGAGCGAAGGUGCUGCAAUGCGCUGCCUUGCCACAAGUGAAAAGUCCGUGAGGCCGGCCUGAGGGUGGCUCUGACAUGAGGCUCCCUUGUCGCCUAUGUCCAGGUGAUGCAAGCCAGAAAGACCAUUGCAUGAAGCAAUGAUGGGCGAUACAUGGAGAACGAAUGAAGCGAUUGUGCGAGCAGGCCAAGUCAGAAAGUUGCAAGGAAGCUAUUAUUGCAACGAAACCAGCCACCGCCGCCUCUAGCACCAUCCGGUUCCCGUGCUGCAAGUGCAGUCGUAACCCCUGUGGAGAGGGAUCCGACCCCAAGGAGAAAGUAGGGGCUGACGAGCUGCGUUUAAGUAUGCUUUGCUGGUGCUUUUAGCUAUUUCAAAAGACGCAAGAAGUGGCUCGACAUCACUUGGCCAUAGGCUGCUCUUCCUCAUCUUAAUGAGCAUAGCUCUUGCAACACUGGCUCCGCCAAAAAACUAGGCGUAAAGUUCAAGGUAAAGUUUUUAAACCAUGUACUUUUUGUCAUCUCGUGUGAGCUGCCAUACACACAUAGAUGAAUCUUUGUUGUUGCUUGGAGGUAGACUUCAUGCUUCUCUCCCAGCAGUCCAGCUCUCUUCUCUUUCUAUUAUGUAUUACUUUUCUAUGAUUUAUGCUUCAGUGACCAAAGUAUGUAUGCUCACUGCCUGCGUGUGGAAGAGAAAUGCACCGGUGUACACCAUAAAAGGAUGCGAAAAGUUAGACCCCUUGUGACUUUUUUUACUGUAAUUUGUAGCCUUGUGUCUGGCAAUGCCGAAAUUGAGUGAGUCAUAAAUGCUCUGACAUAUCGUAUAAUUAAUGCUAGUGUCUCUAAUUCUGGCCACUUUUAGCUUCAUUUUGAAACACCCGCCUGAGAUUGUAAGAAACUACUUCCCCACAGCGGGGAAGCACCUAAGACAUUGUGCGCUAAAGGUUUGGUGACAUUGACAGCGCAGUUUUCAAAUCGGGGGCCCCGCGCGCGAUAAAGAAUGAAACGAUGUGGGUGCUUUGGUAUGAGUUAAGCCGGUUAAGUGCGUGUCCCCUCAGGAAAAUGAAAAGCAUUCCUGGCUUAAGCAGCCAAAACCACCCUGAGAGCAGCUCGACAACUGAGCGAGAGGGACGAGAAGCAAUAGCCCUCGUCAGGUGCCAGUUGUGGUAUUGUGUGUGUCCUGUCCAUCUUUUGUGACGUCAACAAUACUGGCUUUUCUUGUGGAACGUCACACGGGGCCUUCAUCUAUGUCAUAUUAGUGGAGGUGUUGCGAGGUGCUGCCAACUCAAAUGAGCACUCACGCUUACUUUAAAACCAAAUUAAAAUAUCUUAAAGGUAACAUUUGCCACUAAUAAUCAGCCAGAAGUGCCAACGUGUGCAGGACAAUCACACAACACAAACAUCUCGAGGUCUUGAUAUUGGUGUCAGGGGCCCUUUAAACGGAACUAAAAGUAUGCAGAGGGGACAAGAGCCGUACGGGUCCACCCUACGUGUUUUUAAAAGCUGUAAAUGAUUUAAAGUAGUACUGUGUAUUCUACUUUAGGAGACCGGUAAGCAGUCAUCAUACUUGCAGAAAAACUUUUUUUCAUAAAAACGUUACCAAGCUUAUGUUGAAUGCACUAGUCUUUCUUUGAUGGAAAUGAUUUCAGUAACAUUAUUUUGUCACUGUAUAACCAUAGCAGUAGCGAUCUUGCCAUGCUUUCUUUUGUUCUUCAGCUUUCGAAUAACAUUCUUCUAUGUGGGAGUGUGUGUUUUCCCAACAUUAUGUUUUUCGGUAAACAGAACGAUUACUUUAUUGAAGAGACUGAUGCUGGGACUCUUAGUACAUAGUUCAAAAUCUUCAUACGGAAGAAGGAAUUGUACAAGCACAGACACCCAGUGUGUGUGUGCAUUCCAUUCCUUCCUCUUGUGUAAGACUCCUUCAGGCUGAGUGUUGCUCUUUCAAACUCUUUUAGUGAAAUUGUAUGAGCUAUGUUUAUUGCACAAAAAUAAAGCAGUCUUUAUAACUGAAA
rnacentral:lncRNA from 1 species